ACAUGGAACUUUUCACGUAGUGCUUGAAAGGUUGUCGCCAACACAGCAUGGUAUCCAGUGUUAUAUAUCAGUGGCAAAUGGCAUCCUCCCUGGGAACAGACUCUUAUGAAAACACCAAAGAAGAAAGAGCGUCUCUUGUGAAAACAGUUUUUAAAAAAAGCUCCUCAAAAACGAACAUGAAAGGUAGAGAGGAAACAGGGGAAAUACAUCUUCGGUGUUCGGAGUUUUGUGAGAACAGUCAAAGUACUGGUAUCGAAGCCAUUGAUAGUGGGGUCUUGCCGUGCGCACUACGAAAACCUCGUAGUAAUAGGCCAAAAUCAAAAGAACACAAACGACUCAACUGUCACAAAUUGGUCUUGCAGUACGUCGUGCCCUGCAUGAACUCCUAUGGUCUAUGCAUAGUGGACAAUUUUCUCGGGAACAAAAUUGGAGACCGAAUUCUUCAAGAAGUCAUAAACAUUCAGCAGAGUGGGAAACUGCAAGAUGGGGAGCUUGCAUGCCGAAAGUUGGGAAAAAGCAAGUCUAUUCGAGGGGACAAAAUUGCAUGGGUGGGGGGAAUUGAGCCAGGUUGUGAAAACAUAGGCUUUUUACUGACAAGAAUGGACAAAAUCAUCACCUACGCCGACGGUAAACUUGGGAAAUACAAAAUCAGAGGCAGGCAUAAGGCGAUGGUUGCCUGCUAUCCUGGCAAUGGGACUGGAUAUGUGAAACACGUGGACAACCCCAACGGAGACGGCCGCUGUGUGACAUGCAUUUACUACCUGAAUAAAAACUGGGAUGCCAAGGAACAUGGGGGAAUUCUGCGGAUCUUUCCUGAGGGGAAGUCCUACGUCGCUGAUAUCGAGCCCAUCUUUGACCGCCUCCUUUUGUUCUGGUCAGACAGGAGGAACCCUCAUGAAGUCCAGCCCUCUUAUUCUACAAGGUACGCCAUCACAGUGUGGUAUUUCGAUGCAGAAGAAAGAGCUGAAGCAAAGAGGAGGUUCAGAGACUUAACAGCGUCUUCACAGGAGAGAAGCGCAGUCUGACCCUAAAGCAGCUGUGCCGCGCGGCAGUCUGGAAGCCCUGAAGCUCUUCUUCGAGGCCCCGUCCUUCUCCCUUCUUCUCAUUGCACUUCAGUCCGUCAUUCCGUCAGUACCUCACUAGCCUGUUCACGCUGCAUGAAUGGUACUCGCUCUGUCCCACAUGAUACUGUUAUGCAGAGUGGGGGAAUGAAAGAAAUCCUCCUAAUCUGGAAUAGUCCACUGGGGUAAUUAAUCUGCGGUGCGCUGCAAGACAUUUCCUGUUUCCCGAAAAGGCCUCUGUAUUCACAAGACAGUUUUGUUAAUCCAAGCAUUACUCAAUGCCCCCUUUCCUCUUUAUUUUAGCAAGAUGUCUGUUCAUAGCAGAAUAUUUCCUGCACUUUUUUAAUGCAAAAAUGUGUUUGUGAACAAAUUGGCCGUGAAUCUGGUUCUUGAGGAAAUAUAUUGCGAAAUGUAUAUUUUUGGUGUGGCCUGUCUAACAGAGCUAAUGGUGGUAAAACUACCAAGGCAAGGCUUAUAUGGAACAUGGCAUUGUUAUUGGUUUGAUCCAAUUAAACGUACAUGCAUUAACAAAAACACAGACCACAUUACUGGACAACAUGGUGUUUUGUCAAGGCAAAAAAAAAGCACAAAAAUAUUUUUAAAUGAAUUGAAGAUCACUUUGGGAUAUGGAAUGUAACUUACCCCUGUCAUUGAUUUAAUGUAAAAUUGUUAAUACUGUGUUAAUGUAUGUGUGUUGUUAUUAUGUCUGUGUAUUAAGUGUGGACUUCACUUCACAAAAAAAAGUGGGUGAUGGAUGGAUUAAUUUUCCCUCAAACAGGAACUCUUUUUCAUUAAAAAGGAUAUGUGGGGCUGGAGUUACAGUAACAAUACUAUGGGGGAGUGUGCACAGGCUAGAGUGGCAGCCACAUGGGAAUAUAAGUGUCAUACCUUCAUUGUGAUUGACAGGUGUUUCCUCCUGUGCCAGAGAAUCCCAUCACCUGAUCCCAUCAUGUGGCUGCCUCUUCUGCCCAAUCUCACCAAAUGCAAGCUGUCAGUGUUGUCCAUGUUUGUUCCGCCUCCUUCACAAUUUCCGCAUUUUUUGAUGGGAAAUAUUGAGAAUUUCAGCCAUUUAUUCACCCGCUUCCGCCACUUCUGGCCGAUCUGUACUUUGAAGAAAACAGUAGCCAGCCAUUAAAUGGCAACUUUAAUGUCCCCUCUCUGCUUCUGUGCAUGUUGUGAGGAGUUAGGUGUUGAAUCAUGUAAUGGAGAUCUCACUUUAUGAUGUGUGUGCGCGUGUCUCUUUUUAAAUGAAAACUGUGGAUCCCUGCUGUUAAUGUAAGGCUUAUAGCCAGCUUGCAUGCUGGUCAGCAAUGCUGGUGAUGCAUGGAGAAUGUUGUUGUGUGACUGUUUUCUUAAUACGUGUUUCUUAUGGGUGUUUGGGAAAUAAAUGCCUUUUGCACCUCU